AGUUACGUCGUCAGUUCAAUCGCGACGUGUCAGGAACGCAUUCUCUGAAUGGCCGAACUAUAGUCUUGAUUUGAUCUAAGCAUCUUAUAUAAAAAAAAUACUAACUAAUGUGAAUAAUAUAGGCAUACUGUAUCUAUACUAAAAUUGUCUAAAAAGUAUUAUAUAUCAAUACUCUUGAUUAGAAAAAUAAAUAUUUACUUAGUUAUUCA